GAGUUUGAUCGUGGCUCAGGACGAACGCUGGCGGCGUGCUUAACACAUGCAAGUGGUGCGACGAACCAGGGCUUGCCCUGGGGCAAAGCCGCGAACGGGUGAGUAACACGUGAGUAACCUGCCCCGAUGACCGGGACAACCCGAGGAAACUCGGGCUAAUACCGGAUGUGGCGCACAGACCCAAGUCUGUUCGCUAAAGGAAGCUUCGGCCUCCGCAUUGGGAGGGCUCGCGGCCCAUUAGCUUGUUGGUGGGGUAACGGCCUACCAAGGCAACGAUGGGUAGCUGGUCUGAGAGGACGAUCAGCCACACUGGGACUGAGACACGGCCCAGACUCCUACGGGAGGCAGCAGUGGGGAAUCUUGCGCAAUGCGCGAAAGCGUGACGCAGCAACGCCGCGUGGGGGAAGACGGCCUUCGGUU
rnacentral:rRNA from 1 species